rnacentral:rRNA from 1 species
AAUAGAUACCCUGGUAGUCCACGCCGUAAACUAUGGAUACGUAGGUGUCCGGAGUGUUAACCCUCUGGGUACCGCAGCUCACGCAUUAAGUAUCCCGCCUGGGGAGUACGGUCGCAAGACUAAAACUCAAAGGAAUUGACGGGGGCCCGCACAAGCGGUGGAGUAUGUGGUUUAAUUCGAAGCAACGCGCAGAACCUUACCUGGGCUUAACAUCCCCUGACAGCGGCAGAGAUGUCGUGUUCCCCUUCGGGGACAGGGAGAUAGGUGCUGCAUGGCUGUCGUCAGCUCGUGUCGUAAGAUGUUGGGUUAAGUCCCGCAACGAGCGCAACCCUUGUCCUUAGUUGCCACCAUUGAGUUGGGCACUCUGAGGAGACUGCCGGUGUUAAACCGGAGGAAGCGGGGAUGACGUCAAGUCCUCAUGGCCCUUACGUCCAGGGCUACACACGUACUACAAUGGCAGAGACAAAGGGUCGCGAAAGCCGUGAGGUGAGCCAAUCCCGAAAACNCUGUCUCAGUCCGGAUUGAAGUCUGCAACUCGACUUC